rnacentral:tRNA from 1 species
GAGGGUGUAGUGCAGUGGUAGAGCGCAUGCCUAGCACGCAGGAGGUCCCGGGUUCAAUCCCCAGUGCCUCCA